CCUUUAACAUGACUUGGAAAAAAAAGACAUGAAAGCAUAAAUAACUUAUGUUUUCAUGUCUUUUUUUUAAGUCAUAUUAAAGG
rnacentral:miRNA from 1 species